GAUGAACGCUGGCGGCGUGCCUAAUACAUGCAAGUCGAGCGAACAGACGAGGAGCUUGCUCCUCUGACGUUAGCGGCGGACGGGUGAGUAACACGUGGAUAACCUACCUAUAAGACUGGGAUAACUUCGGGAAACCGGAGCUAAUACCGGAUAAUAUAUUGAACCGCAUGGUUCAAUAGUGAAAGACGGUUUUGCUGUCACUUAUAGAUGGAUCCGCGCCGCAUUAGCUAGUUGGUAAGGUAACGGCUUACCAAGGCGACGAUGCGUAGCCGACCUGAGAGGGUGGUCGGCCACACUGGAACUGGGACACGGGCCAGACUCCUAAGGGAGGCAGCAGGAGGGAAGCUUCCGCAAUGGGGGAAAGCCUGACGGAGCAAAGCCGCGUGGGUGAAGAAGGUCUUCGGAUUGGAAAACUCUGUUAUUAGGGAAGAAAAAAUGUGUAAGGAACUAUGGACGUCUUGACGGUACCUAAUCAGAAAGCCACGGCUAACUACGUG
rnacentral:rRNA from 1 species